rnacentral:rRNA from 1 species
GUCCACGCCGUAAACGAUGGAUACUAGCUGUUGGGGCCAACUUCAGUGGCUAAGCGAAAGUGAUAAGUAUCCCACCUGGGGAGUACGUUCGCAAGAAUGAAACUCAAAGGAAUUGACGGGGGCCCGCACAAGCGGAGGAACAUGUGGUUUAAUUCGAUGAUACGCGAGGAACCUUACCAAGGCUUAAAUGUAGAUUGACCGGUUUGGAAACAGACUUUUCGCAAGACAAUUUACAAGGUGCUGCAUGGUUGUCGU